GGUAGUCCACGCCGUAAACGAUGUCGACUUGGAGGUUGUGCCCUUGAGGCGUGGCUUCCGGAGCUAACGCGUUAAGUCGACCGCCUGGGGAGUACGGCCGCAAGGUUAAAACUCAAAUGAAUUGACGGGGGCCCGCACAAGCGGUGGAGCAUGUGGUUUAAUUCGAUGCAACGCGAAGAACCUUACCUGGUCUUGACAUCCACAGAACUUUCCAGAGAUGGAUUGGUGCCUUCGGGAACUGUGAGACAGGUGCUGCAUGGCUGUCGUCAGCUCGUGUUGUGAAAUGUUGGGUUAAGUCCCGCAACGAGCGCAACCCUUAUCCUUUGUUGCCAGCGGUCCGGCCGGGAACUCAAAGGAGACUGCCGGUGAUAAACCGGAGGAAGGUGGGGAUGACGUCAAGUCAUCAUGGCCCUUACGAGUAGGGCUACACACGUGCUACAAUGGCGCAUACAAAGAGAAGCGACCUCGCGAGAGCAAGCGGACCUCACAAAGUGCGUCGUAGUCCGGAUCGGAGUCUGCAACUCGACUCCGUGAAGUCGGAAUCGCUAGUAAUCGUGGAUCAGAAUGCCACGGUGAAUACGUUCCCGGGCCUUGUACACACCGCCCGUCACACCAUGGGAGUGGGUUGCAAAAGAAGUAGGCAGCUUAACCUUCGGGAGGGCGCUUACCACUUUGUGAUUCAUGACUGGGGUGAAGUCGUAACAAGGUAACC
rnacentral:rRNA from 1 species